CCCGCGACCCGCCAGCCAAUCACCUGCUGCAGCUGCGCGCGCGUGAUGCGUAUGACAGAGGGGAACUUGGCGUUGGCGGCGCCGGCCGGGAUAGCGGGCAGCUUCCUGCGGGCGGGGGAGGCGGGCGGGGGCGGCGGCGGCGAGGUGGACGACGGCGGGGGGAGGGGGGCGUGGCAGGAGGAGGAGGAGAAGGAGGCGCGCUCCCGCUCCCGCUGGUCGGCGGACAGGCUGCGGCGCAGCGCGGCGGGCCGCCGGAGGUGCAGGGGUCCGACAGGGUGCAGAGGAGGGUGUGGGGGCUGGGGGAGCGCAGCUGCAGGGGGCUGCACGUCCGCACCGCCGCCGCCUCCUCCGGGAGGGACGGGGGAGAGGUGGGGAGCUAGGAGACGGGAGAGGGGGAGAGGGAGAGAGGAGGAGGGGAGAGUGAGGAGGAGUGAGGGAGAGCGACGCGGAGCUGAAAGCGUGGCGGCCUUGUGGCACAGCGGGGGGUUCCAAACAGGCGCGCGCGUGUCUUCCAGGUUCGGAACGCUACGGUCCAGUCGGACGCCUUCUCCCGCGCAGUCGGAUUCUAAUUUGGGAAAAUUAAACCGGAGCAGGGAACGUUCCGAGCCCGGGACGUCCCACGCAGGAGGGGGGCCAAGGUUGUGCUUGGUUGGAGAAUAGAUGUGGAAUCUGUGGUUGUGAGCUCAAAACAAGCAGCGGUCAGCGUGGUGUUAUAGUGGCUGGGGGUCAAUCAGGAUCGGCUGGAUUAGGUUCAACUGAGAGGGGGGGCGUCUGAAUGUGGGGGAGAAGGCCCACAGGACAGUUAGAUCAUCUAAACCGCUUUCAUCCAAAAGCACGGGUCUGCAUGAAAUGAUGAAAACUUUGCGAGAAUCUUCUACGAUGCGAGGACGAUUGAUGACGCUUGGAGAAGAUAAAAAGAUGAUGGAGGGCUGAAGUUCAGGGUAGAGAACGGGCGAUAGAGUAACAAAGGUCAUGAACAGCAGAAGAAGCAAACAAAUGGUCUGAUCUGUCAGCGAAACCGAAGGGGAAACCAAGGAAUCUGUCAAACCAAACUUUAAAGUAAACUUUGCAAACAAGCACAAGCAACUGCAAAUUAAUCUCUGCAAAAUAAGAUCAACGUGAACGAUAAUAUAAAAUAAAUAAAUGCCAAUCAUAGUGCGACUCAAAGCCAUGAGCUCUCUCUCAUCGCGUCCCCGUCUGCCGUUACCCCCCCACUGGUCUCUCUCCUAUCAAAUACAGCGGAAGCCACUGGUGAGCGAGCGACACAUAAAGCAGGAGCCGACGCCCCUAGCGUGAACGUCUGGGCCGCGGCGGCGCUGGCGCUGCGACUCUGACACUGGCAGCGUUUUAGCAGGUAAAACCCCGAAUACCGUCGGUAUCGUGUGAUGACAUCACGCAUGGCGGUCACAUGAACCCGGGGACGGACGGACACGCCCUCUCACCUGAGUGAGGACCCCUUCCGCCAGGGCGUUGGCCGGGCUGGUCGGGGUCACGGGCGCCGGGUUCCCGGGGGGGGACCCCACGCUCAGCUCCAGCCGCUCCCCCUUGGAGACCCCGGCCGCGAGGCCUGCGUGUCCGGCCUGGCUUUGCCGUAGCUGGGCCCCGGGGCGUGCCGGGGGCCUUGGGUCGCUCCAGCACCCCCCACUCCCGGGAGUCCACCUCCUGCCGGCAGGAGCUCAGGUUCAGCAUCACGAAGCUGCUGGGGGCGUCGCCCACCGGCUCGGGGGAACCGGGCGUGGCCGGCCGGGGGGAGCCCCGCCCGGACAGGAACUCCUCGUCGUAGUGCCACACCCUCAGAGGCUCCUCCCCGGCGGGCGGGGGCGGGGCCACGGGGGGUAAGGCAGGGACCCGGUCUGCAGACUCCCUGUCCUGGGGGGGCGGGCCACACGGCUGCUUGGGGGGGCUGG
ensembl:lncRNA